UCGUGAUCGGAGCACCCCUAGUCGGUGCACAUUCUGUUCGAGACUGUGUGAACAAAGUUAUGAAUAGAAUGAUGACAAAUGGUCUAAUGGUGAAGUUCAAUAUGAGGGGUGGUGGACAGCUUGAAAAAAAGCCGUUUAAAGCCACACCUUUAUAUGAUGUCAUUCAAGAUGCUGUGAAGAGGUGGAGCCCAAAUACUACCGACUCAGAAAUAGAUGCAGCAAUGGCGGAACACCUAAAGCAUGCUCCAGGAAGAGCUGGGGGUGGAGGAUACAAAAACUAAGCAGAACCACUAUAAUGUGUUUAAGGGAUAGUUCACCCAAAAAUGAAAAUGUUAAUUUUCUCAACCUCAUGUUUCAAACCUGUAUAACUCUCUAAUUUCUAUUUAACACAAAUAUACUUGGAAGAAUGUAAUCAAGCAGAUCUUGCCUCCCGUUAACUAUCAUAAUUUUUCCUACAAUAGUAGUUAAUGGGUUUUGAGAUCUGACAUUACAAACAUUCUUCCAAAUAUGUUUGUGUUCAGCAGAUCAUAGAAAGGUAUACAGGUUUGAAACAUGAGGGUGAGUUAAUGACAGAAAUUUCAUUUUUGGGUGAACUAUCCCUUUAUUUAAUUCAGUAUUUUGUAAUUGUUUUAGUUUAGUCAACAGAUGCUAAACCGUUCCAAAAAAAAAAAAAAUGCUUUAUCAUAACAUGCUUCUUUUUUUAUUAUGUCCACAAAUAACGUGUUCUUUGUGAUGUACACUUGAAUAAAACUUUUUAGGUACGUUAAGGUCUGACUGGACCGAUUUUGAACCUUUUGUCAAGUUAAACCUCAAAGGAUAAUUGCCUUUCACGAUGUUACACAAUGGGUGUGUGAUUAUUUUA